rnacentral:hammerhead_ribozyme from 1 species
AUCCAGCUGAUGAGUCUCAAAUAGGACGGAACGCGUGCCCUAGAU